GAGGAAUAUUGGUCAAUGGACGAGAGUCUGAACCAGCCAAGUAGCGUGAAGGAUGACUGCCCUAUGGGUUGUAAACUUCUUUUAUACGGGAAUAAAGUUAGCCACGUGUGGCUUUUUGUAUGUACCGUAUGAAUAAGGAUCGGCUAACUCCGUGCCAGCAGCCGCGGUAAUACGGAGGAUCCGAGCGUUAUCCGGAUUUAUUGGGUUUAAAGGGAGCGUAGGCGGGUUGUUAAGUCAGUUGUGAAAGUUUGCGGCUCAACCGUAAAAUUGCAGUUGAUACUGGCGACCUUGAGUGCAACAGAGGUAGGCGGAAUUCGUGGUGUAGCGGUGAAAUGCUUAGAUAUCACGAAGAACUCCGAUUGCGAAGGCAGCUUACUGGAUUGUAACUGACGCUGAUGCUCGAAAGUGUGGGUAUCAAACAGGAUUAGAUACCCUGGUAGUCCACACAGUAAACGAUGAAUACUCGCUGUUGGCGAUAUACGGUCAGCGGCCAAGCGAAAGCAUUAAGUAUUCCACCUGGGGAGUACGCCGGCAACGGUGAAACUCAAAGGAAUUGACGGGGGCCCGCACAAGCGGAGGAACAUGUGGUUUAAUUCGAUGAUACGCGAGGAACCUUACCCGGGCUUAAAUUGCAACUGACUGAACCGGAAACGGUUCCUUCUUCGGACAGUUGUGAAGGUGCUGCAUGGUUGUCGUCAGCUCGUGCCGUGAGGUGUCGGCUUAAGUGCCAUAACGAGCGCAACCCUUAUCGAUAGUUACUAGCAGGUCAUGCUGAGGACUCUAUUGAGACUGCCGUCGUAAGAUGUGAGGAAGGUGGGGAUGACGUCAAAUCAGCACGGCCCUUACGUCCGGGGCUACACACGUGUUACAAUGGGGGGUACAGAAGGCAGCUACACGGCGACGUGGUGCUAAUCCCGAAAGCCUCUCUCAGUUCGGAUUGGAGUCUGCAACCCGACUCCAUGAAGCUGGAUUCGCUAGUAAUCGCGCAUCAGCCACGGCGCGGUGAAUACGUUCCCG
rnacentral:rRNA from 1 species